rnacentral:misc_RNA from 1 species
GAGGGCUGUAAUGCACGGAUUUUAACAUCAUAUUUUUGAUGUUUGGAUCCAUUAACUGACGAUAAAUCUGAACCAUCUGAUACAAGUGGAUAAGCAGAAGUUUCAUCUUCAUAAGCAAUUCCAAUAUUAUUGCCACAUUUACGGCAAAGAAGUUUGGUUCUCCGGCGAAACAAACCCCAGGAAUUUUUCGAAAAGUUAGGAAUACAUUGGAAUUCUUCAGCCUGAGUAAA